AGGCAGGCACCGCCCCGCUCGAGCGGCUGCUCGCGUCCGCGCGGCGGCGUCCCCAGAGGCGCGUGGGGCGGGCGGGGCUGGGUUUGGGCUGUGUCUGGGCUUAGGGCGGGGGCCUGGGAUGCUGCCGCUGAGCUGACCCGCUGGACUUGGGUUGUGGCAGACGGAUGGCGAACGUGCAGGUCGCCGUGCGGGUCCGGCCGCUCAGCAAGAGGGAGACCAAAGAAGGGGGAAGAAUUAUUGUGGAAGUUGAUGGCAAAGUGGCAAAAAUCAGGAAUUUAAAGGUGGACAAUCGACCAGAUGGCUUUGGGGACUCCCGGGAGAAGGUUAUGGCAUUUGGCUUUGAUUACUGCUACUGGUCAGUCAACCCAGAGGAUCCCCAGUAUGCAUCUCAAGAUGUGGUUUUCCAGGAUUUAGGGAUGGAAGUACUGUCUGGAGUUGCCAAAGGCUAUAACAUAUGCCUUUUUGCUUAUGGACAGACAGGCUCUGGGAAGACAUAUACCAUGCUGGGGACCCCAGCCUCUGUUGGGUUGACACCACGGAUAUGUGAGGGUCUCUUCGUCAGGGAGAAAGACUGUGCCUCACUGCCUUCCUCCUGUAGGAUAAAAGUAAGUUUUCUAGAAAUCUAUAAUGAACGGGUGCGGGAUCUGUUGAAGCAAUCUGGUCAAAAAAAGUCCUAUACCCUGCGGGUCAGGGAGCAUCCAGAGAUGGGGCCCUAUGUACAAGGUUUAUCUCAACAUGUAGUUACCAAUUAUAAGCAAGUAAUCCAACUCUUGGAGGAGGGAAUUGCAAACAGAAUCACAGCAGCCACCCAUGUUCAUGAGGCCAGCAGCAGGUCCCACGCCAUUUUCACGAUCCACUACACGCAGGCAAUCCUGGAGAACAACCUCCCUUCUGAAAUGGCUAGCAAGAUCAACCUUGUGGACCUAGCAGGCAGUGAAAGAGCAGAUCCCAGUUACUGUAAGGACCGCAUUGCUGAAGGAGCCAAUAUCAACAAGUCCCUUGUGACUCUAGGAAUUGUCAUCUCCACCUUAGCCCAGAACUCCCAAGUUUUCAGCAGCUGCCAGAGCCUCAACAGCUCAGUCAGCAAUGGUGGUGACAGUGUGAUCCUUAGCUCUCCUUCUGGGACCAGCAGUGGAGGGGCACCCUCCCGAAGGCAGUCUUAUAUCCCAUACCGAGACUCUGUGUUGACCUGGCUGCUGAAGGACAGCCUUGGAGGCAACUCUAAAACCAUCAUGGUUGCCACGGUGUCUCCUGCACACACUAGCUACAGUGAGACCAUGAGCACACUGAGAUAUGCAUCCAGUGCCAAAAACAUUAUCAACAAGCCACGAGUAAAUGAGGAUGCAAACGUAAAACUGAUUAGAGAACUCAGAGAAGAGAUUGAAAGACUGAAAGCCCUGCUGCUGAGCUUUGAACUGAGAAACUUCGGUUCAUUGAGUGAUGAAAAGGAUGAAAACCUGAAGGAGCUGGUUCUCCAAAAUGAAUUGAAGAUAGACCAGCUGACUAAAGACUGGACCCAGAAGUGGAAUGAUUGGCAGGCCCUCAUGGAGCAUUACAGUGUGGACAUCAACAGGAGGAGGGCUGGGGUGGUCAUCGACUCCAGCCUGCCACACUUGAUGGCCUUGGAGGAUGAUGUGCUCAGCACAGGUGUUGUGCUCUAUCAUCUCAAGGAAGGGACAACAAAAAUAGGAAGGAUUGACUCAGACCAGGAACAGGACAUUGUCCUGCAGGGUCAGUGGAUUGAGAGAGACCACUGCACUAUCACCAGUGCCUGUGGUGUAGUUGUUCUCCGACCUGCCCGUGGGGCCCGCUGUACAGUCAAUGGCCGGGAGGUCACUGCCUCCUGCCGUCUGACUCAAGGAGCUGUCAUAACCCUGGGGAAGGCACAGAAGUUCCGAUUCAACCACCCAGCAGAGGCUGCUGUCCUGCGGCAGCGAAGGCAGGUUGGAGAGGCUGCUGCUGGUCGUGGCUCAUUGGAGUGGCUGGAUUUGGAUGGAGAUCUCGCUGCCUCCCGGCUGGGUCUCUCCCCUUUGCUUUGGAAGGAAAGGAGAGCGCUUGAAGAGCAAUGUGACGAGGACCAUCAGCCACCGAGGGAUGGAGAGACAUCCCACAGGGCCCAGAUUCAGCAGCAGCAGAGCUACGUAGAGGAUUUGAGGCAUCAAAUCCUAGCAGAAGAGAUUCGAGCUGAGAAGGAACUGGAAUUUGACCAAGCUUGGAUUAGCCAGCAGAUUAAAGAAAACCAGCAGUGUCUGCUCAGAGAAGAGACCUGGCUGGCCAGCUUGCAACAGCAGCAGCAAGAAGACCAGGUAGCAGAGAAAGAACUUGAGGCAUCUGUGGCACUUGAUGCUUGGCUUCAGACAGAUCCUGAGAUUCAGCCAUCCCCAUUUGUCCAAAGUCAGAAAAGGGUGGUGCACCUGCAGCUCCUGCGGAGACACACUCUUCGGGCAGCAGAGCGGAAUGUCCGGCGGAAAAAGGUCUCAUUCCAGCUAGAGAGAAUCAUCAAAAAGCAGAGGCUGCUGGAGGCCCAGAAGAGACUGGAGAAGCUCACGACAUUGUGCUGGCUCCAGGAUGACAGCACCCAGGAGCCCCCAUACCAGGUCCUCAGCCCUGAUGCCACAGUCCCACGGCCUCGAUGUAGAAGCAAAUUGACGAGUUGCAGUUCUUUGAGCCCCCAAAGACUCUGCAGCAAGCACAUGCCCCAGCUACACAGCAUUUUCCUAAGUUGGGAUCCCUCUACCACAUUGCCACCUAGGCCUGACCCUACACACCAAACAUCAGAGAAAACAUCAUCAGAAGAGCAUUUGCCACAGGCUGCUUCCUACCCUGCAAGGACAGGGUGCCUCCGCAAGAACGGCCUGCAUUCCUCAGGUCAUGGGCAGCCCUGCACAGCCAGAGCAGCCUUGGCCAGGAAGGGAGCCUCAGCUCCAGACGCUUGCCUCACCAUUAGUCCCAACUCUGUUGGCAUCCAGGAAAUGGAGAUGGGGGUUAAGCAGCCCCAUCAGAUGGUGAGCCAGGGCUUAGCAUCUCUGAGGAAAUCAGCUAACAAACUAAAGCCAAGGCAUGAGCCAAAGAUCUUCACCUCUACUACCCAGACCAGAGGGGCGAAGGGACUAGCAGACCCUAGCCACACACAAGCUGGGUGGCGAAAAGAAGGGAACCUUGGGACCCACAAGGCUGCUAAGGGAGCCAGUUGCAAUUCCUUGUAUCCUCAUGGACCCAGGCAGACUGCUGGGCACGGAAAGGCAGUCAAGACUUUUUGGACAGAAUACAAACCACCUUCUCCAAGCAGGGCAUCAAAAAGGCAUCAGAGGGUUCUGGCAACUAGGGUCAGAAAUAUUACCAAAAAGUCCUCUCACUUGCCUCUUGGCAGUCCUUUGAAAAGACAACAAAAUACAAGGGACCCAGACACCAUGGUCCCACCCACAGAUUUCAGCCCAGUAAUGGAUCAUUCAAGAGAAAAAAACAAUGAUUUAUCUGACACAGAUAGCAACUACUCAGUGGAUUCUCUCUCAUGUGUCUAUGCCAAAGCCCUGAUAGAGCCACUGAAGCCAGAGGAGAGGAAAUGGGAUUUCCCAGAGCCAGAGAACUCUGAAAGUGAUGACAGCCAACUAUCUGAGGACUCACUGGCUGAGAAGAGGUACCAAAGCCCCAAAAACAGGCUAGGGGGCAAUCAUCCCACCAACAAUCGUGGCCAACCCAGGACCAGAACUAGAGCUUCUGUGAGGGGCUUCACUGCAGCCUCAGACAGUGACCUACUUGCUCAAACUCACAGGAGCUUCUCCUUGGAUAGCCUGAUUGAUGCAGAGGAAGAACUGGGGGAAGAUCAGCAAGAAGAACCUUUCCCUGGUUCAGCUGACGAGAUACCCACAGAGACUUUUUGGCACCUGGAGGACUCUAGUCUGCCUGUAAUGGACCAAGAGGCAAUAUGCAGGCUUGGUCCCAUCAACUACAGAACAGCAGCUAGGCUGGAUGCCGUCCUGCCAAUGAGCAGUUCGUUUUACCUUGAUCCUCAGUUCCAACCCCAUUGUGAGCUCCAACCCCAUUGUGAGCUCCAACCCCAUUGUGAGCUCCAACCCCAUUGUGAGCUCCAACCCCAUUGUGAGCAGGCUGAAUCACAGGUAGAGCCAAGCUACUCUGAACAAGCCGACUCUCUCCAAGGCAUGCAGCUUUCAAGAGAGAGCCCACUGAUGUCCAUGGAUUCCUGGUUUUCCUGUGACUCUAAGAUCAACCCCAGCAGCCCCCCAGGAAUAGUGGGUUCUUUAUGUCCAAGUCCUGAUAUGCAGGAAUUUCACCCCUGUAAGGGGGAGAGGCCUGGUUACUGGCCAAAUACUGAGGAACUAAAGCCAUCAGAUGCAGAAACGGUUCUGCCAUAUAGCUCCAAACUGCACCAAGGCAGUACUGAGCUCCUCUGCAGUGCAAGAGAUGAGCACACAGCCUCUGCUGCUGAUACAUCUAGGCUGUCUCUCUGGGGAAUUCAAAGGCUUAUUCAACCAGGAGCUGAUGGCACCUUUCAGGGCAGAUGUAUCCCUGACAUGACCCAGCAGGGCAGCUCUGAAGCAUCCCACAAUUCUAGUGUAUCAAACGUGCUGGCUGCCUCUGCCACCACCUUGACUCAUGUAGGCAGCACCCAUGAAAGGGAUUGGUCUGCCCUUCAGCAAAAGUACCUCCUUGAACUCUCUUGUCCUGUUUUGGAGGCCAUAGGAGCACCCAAGCCAGCUUACCCCUACCUUGAGGAAGACUCUGGUUCCCUGGCCCAAGCUUCUAGCAAAGGAGGAGAUACUCUAUUGCCAGUUGGCCCUAGGGUAUCUAGCAAUCUGAAUCUCAACAACUUUCCAAUCCAUCUGUCCAGAAUCAGGCGUUUGAGGGCAGAGAAAGAACAGGACAGUUUAAAUGCCAAAUUAGAAGGUGUUUCAGAUUUCUUUAGCACUAGUGAGAAAGAGGCGAGUUAUGACGAAACUUAUUCGGCAGACUUAGAAUCAUUGUCUGCUUCUCGAUCUACAAAUGCACAGGUCUUUGCAGCAGAGAACGCGAUGCCAGAUUCCAUGACAGAAGCAUGUGAAGUCAAGCAGAACAACUUGGAAGAAUGCCUUCAGAGUUGCAGGAAACCUGGACUGAUGACUUCCUCUGAUGAGGAUUUUUUCCAGAAGAACGCUUGUCACAGUAAUGUCACUACAGCCACCAAAGCAGACCACUGGUCCCAAGGCUGGGCUCCUCUCAGGAAAAAUAGUGCAGUCCAGCCAGGGCAAUUAAGUCCCGACAGCCACUACCCACUAGAGGAAGAGAAGACAGAUUGCCAGGAGAGCUCUAAGGAAGCAGUUAGAAGACACAUAAAUGUUUCCUUUGCCCUUCCUUCAGGUCCAGAGCUAUACCUUCACUCUGCUCCCUGGAAUCCAUUGUCAUCUUCCCUGCAGCCCCCACUCUUGGAAACAUUCUAUGUGACCAAAAGCAGGGAUGCCCUGACAGAAACUGCCUUAGAGAUUCCAGCUUGCAGAGAAGUAAGGGUACCUUCCCCACCCCCCAGGGAAGCCUGGGGCUUUGGUCACAACCACCAAGCUCUCCAAGGUGCUUAUUUGAAGAAUAAUUUGCCAGUGCUGUUACAAAACCAGAAUUCUAAGAUUGCCUCAUCUCAGCAGGUCACAGCUGAGAUACCAGUUGAUCUGAAUACCAGGGAAGUCAUCAGAGAAUCAGGUAAAUGCCCUGGAAAUAUUACAGAAGAAAGCCAUGAUUCAGUUUAUUCUUCUGUUACUCAGAACAGACAUUUUCUCCCCUCUACCAGCACAAAAGUAUGUGAAUUUGAAAACCAAGUUGUAAUUUUAAAUAAAAAACACAGUUUUCCAGCACUUGAGGGAGGAGAGGUCACUGCUCAGUCCUGUUGCAGUGCUUCCUCAGACAGCACUGAGUCUGGGAAGUCUCUCCUCUUUCGUGAAUCUGAGGCACAAGAGGAAGAAGAGCUGGAUCAGAAUACAGUUCUGAGGCAGACCAUCAAUGUAAGCCUUGAGAAAGACAUGCCAGGGGAAAGUGCUGUUUCUUUGAAAUCCAGAUCAGUAGAUCGUAGAGUAAGCAGCCCAGUGAUGGUGGCCCAGGAUGGUGGCCCAACCCCUAAGUGGGAAGGGAAAAAUGAAACUGGGCUUCUUGAAAAAGGUCUUCGUCCCAAAGAUAGCUCAGAAGAGUUUAAGCUUCCAGGUACAAAGCCUGCAUAUGAAAGGUUCCAGUUAGUUGCAUGCCCUCAGGAAAGAAACCCCAGUGAAUGCAAGUCACAAGAAAUGUUAAAUCCCAACAGAGAACCUUCUGGAAAGAAACAGAAUAAAAGAGUUAAUAAUACUGAUGAAAUGGCUAGGCUAAUUAGGAGUGUAAUGCAGCUGGAAAAUGGCAUCUUAGAAAUUGAAUCUAAGCAGAAUAAGCAGGUUCAUGCUUCCCACACACCAGGUACCGAUAAGGAGUUGGUGUUCCAGGACCAGAAGGAGCAGGAGAAGACUGACCAUGCCUUUAGGCCAGACAGCUCUGGAAACCCUUUGCCCUCUAAGGAUCAGCCAUCUUCUCCAAGACAGACAGAUGAUACUGUCUUUAGGGAUAGUGAAGCUGGAGCAAUGGAGGUUAACAGCACUGGGAACCAUCCCCAGGUCCAGAAAAUCACCCCAAACCCCUUCAGGUCAAGGGAAGGUGUACGAGAGAGUGAACCUGUGAGAGAGCACACUCACCCAGCUGGAUCGGACAGAACUGCCAGGGAUAUUUGUGAUUCUUUAGGGAAACACACAACUUGCAGAGAGUUCACCAACACUUCUCUUCACCCACAGAGAAUGAAAGCAUUGGCUAGAGCUCUGCCAUUGCAACCCAGGCUAGAGAGGUCUUCUAAGAAUAAUGGCCAGUUUGUAAAAGCAUCAGCAAGUCUCAAAGGGCAGCCUUGGGGCUUAGGAAGUCUUGAGGAAUUGGAGACUGUGAAAGGUUUUCAGGAAAGCCAAGUAGCUGAACACGUAAGUAGUUCCAACCAAGAAGAGCCAAAAGCUCAAGGUAAAGUUGAAGAAAUGCCUAUGCAAAGGGGAGGCAGCCUUCAGGAAGAAAAUAAAGUGACUCAGAAAUUUCCUAGUCUCAGCCAGCUUUGUAGGGACACGUUUUUCAGGCAGGAAACUGUCAGCCCAUUACUAAGCCGGACAGAAUUCUGUACAGCUCCUCUUCACCAAGACCUGAGUAAUACCUUGCCCUUGAAUUCUCCAAGGUGGCCAAGAACGUGUCUUCAUGUACCUGUUGCUCUAGGCAUCUCUUCACUUGACUGUGUGCUGGAUCUCACAAUGUUGAAAAUUCAUAACAGUCCCUUGGUAACUGGAGUAGAGCAUCAGGACCAGAGUACGGAGACCAGAAGCCACAGCCCCGAAGGAAAUGUUAGGGGGCGUUCCUCUGAGGCACACACUGCCUGGUGUGGGUCUGUGCGAUCCAUGGCCAUGGGAUCUCAUAGUCAAUCUGGUGUACCAGAGAGCAUUCCUCUGGGGACAGAGGACAGGAUCUCAGCAAGCACCAGCCCCCAAGACCAUGGAAAGGACCUCAGAAUCACCUUGCUGGGUUUCAGUACCAGUGAAGAUUUUGCUUCUGAAGCCGAGGUGGCUGUACAAAAAGAAAUAAGAGUCAGUUCACUGAACAAGGUCUCUAGCCAGCCUGAAAAGAGGGUCAGCUUCUCCUUGGAAGAGGAUAAUGACCAAGCCAGCAAGCCAAGGCAGAAGGCAGAGAAGGAGACUGAGGACGUCGGACUGACCAGUGGUGUUUCCUUAGCACCUGUUUCCCUGCCGAGGGUGCCCAGUCCAGAGCCUAGGCUGUUGGAGCCCUCUGACCAUGCAUCCAUGUGCCUGGCCAUCUUGGAGGAGAUCAGACAGGCAAAGGCCCAGAGAAAGCAGCUUCAUGACUUAGUGGCCAGGGGCACAGUCCUUUCUUACUGUGAAACUUUACUAGAACCGGAAUGUUCUUCAAGGGUUGCUGGCAGGCCUCAGUGUAAACAAAUAGACCAGUCAUCAUCAGACCAGACCAGGAAUGAGGGUGAAGCACCAGGAUUUCAUGUGGCAUCUCUAUCUGCUGAAGCAGGGCAGAUAGAUCUGUUACCUGAUGAGAGGAAAGUCCAGGCCACAUCUCUGUCUGCAGACAGCUUUCAAUCUCUGCCCAAUACGGAAACUGACAGAGAGCCAUGGGAUCCUGUGCAGGCUUUCUCCCAUGCUGCUCCUGCUCAAGACAGGAAACAUCGUACUGGAGAACUGAGGCAGUUCGCGGGAGCAAGUGAACCAUUUAUAUGUCACUCUAGUUCUUCUGAAAUCAUAGAGAAAAAGAAAGAUGCAACCAGAACACCUUCCUCAGCUGAUCCUUUGGCCCCAGACAGUCUUCGUUCUUCAGCACCUGUGGAGGAGGUCAGGAGGGUAGUAUCAAAGAAGGUAGUGGCUGCCUUAUCUUCUCAGGCCCCUUGUGAUGAUCCUAGAGUGACUCUGCAUGAGCUAAGUCAGUCAGUUCCGCAGGAGACUGCAGAGGGCAUACCCCCUGGCAGUCAGGACAGCAGCCCAGAGCAUCAGGAACCCAGAACUCUAGACACCACAUAUGGAGAAGUUUCAGAUAAUUUGUUAGUGACUGCACAGGGAGAAAAAACAGCCCAUUUUGAAAGUCAGUCUGUGACCUGUGAUGUUCAGAAUUCUACAAGUGCCUCAGGGCCUAAGCAAGACCAUGUCCAAUGCCCUGAGGCUUCUACUGGCUUUGAAGAAGGUAGGGCAAGUCCCAAACAAGAUACCAUUCUGCCUGGAGCUCUGACAAGGGUUGCACUGGAAGCUCCCACACAGCAGUGUGUGCAGUGUAAGGAGAGUGUUGGGUCUGGGUUGACAGAAGUCUGCAGGGCUGGCAGCAAACAUUCCAGACCAAUUCCACUGCCAGAUCAAAGACCAAGUGCAAAUCCUGAGGGAAUUGGGGAGGAAGCCCCAUGUAGACACCCAAGGGAAGCUUUAGAUGGCCCUGUCUUCUCAAGGAACCCUGAAGGCAGCAGGACUCUCAGCCCGUCUAGAGGGAAAGAGAGCAGAACUCUUCCUUGCCGACAGCCAUGCAGUUCUCAACCUGUUGCUACUCAUGCUUAUUCCUCCCAUUCCUCUACUUUACUGUGUUUUAGAGAUGGUGACCUAGGGAAGGAGCCUUUCAAGGCUGCCCCACAUACUGUCCACCCACCCUGUGUAGUACCUUCCAGGGCCUAUGAAAUGGAUGAGACAGGAGAGAUCUCCUCUAGGGGACCUGAUGUGCACUUGACACAUGGCCUUGAGCCCAAAGAUGUUAACAGGGAAUUUAGGCUAACAGAGAGCAGCACUUGUGAGCCUUCUACUGUGGCUGCUGUCCUAUCUCGAGCUCAAGGCUGCAGAUCCCCUUCUGCUCCUGACGUGAGGACAGGUUCCUUCAGCCACUCAGCUACUGAUGGAAGCGUAGGGUUAAUAGGGGUUCCUGAGAAAAAGGUUGCUGAGAAGCAAGCAAGCACAGAACUUGAGGCUGCGUCUUUCCCUGCAUGCAUGUACUCUGAGCCUCUGAGGCAUUUUAGGGACAGCUCUGUAGGUGACCAGAAUGCACAGGUGUGUCAAACCAAUCCAGAACCGCCUGCAACAACUCAGGGACCACACACCCCGGAUUUAAGUGAAGGGUCUGCUGAGAGCAAGUUGGUGGCAGAGCCACAGCAUGAAUGUUUAGAAAAUACCACUAGAUGUUUUUUGGAAAAGCCACAAUUUUCCACUGAGUUGAGGGAUCACAAUCGCUUGGAUUCCCAAGCCAAGUUUGUAGCAAGGUUAAAACAUACCUGCAGCCCCCAGGAAGACAGUCCCUGGCAGGAAGAAGAGCAGCACAGAGACCAGGCUUCAGGUGGUGGAGAAGGCUUCGCCCAGGGUGUGAAUCCCCUUCCUGAUGAAGAUGGCUUAGAUGGCUGUCAGAUUUUAGAUGCUGGGAGAGAGGAGGUGGCUGUGGCCAAGCCUCCUGUGUCCAAGAUUUUAUCACAGGGCUUCAAAGACCCAGCCACUGUGUCCUUGAGGCAAAAUGAAACAUCACAGCCUGCUGCUCAGAGGACUGGCCACCUCUACACUGGCAGAGAGCAGCCAGCACUUCCUGUGACUACAAUCUUCUCUGGCCCCAAACACUCCAGGUCCUCCCCCACACCACAGUUCUCAGUUGUCAGCUCUUCUCGUUCUCUUCAGGAGCUGAACUUGAGUGUGGAGCCACCUUCCCCUACAGACGAAGAUACACAGGGGCCUAACAGAUUGUGGAACCCACAUCUCAGGGGCUAUUCCUCAGGAAAGUCAGUGGCAAGAACAUCUCUGCAGGCUGAGGACAGCAAUCAGAAAGCCUCAUCUUGCUUGGAUGAUGGGACUACCGAUCACAGGCACCUGAAGCCUGCCACCCCUCCUUAUCCAAUGCCUUCCACACUCUCACACAUGCCAACCCCUGAUUUCACGACCAGCUGGAUGUCUGGUACUUUGGAACAAGCCCAACAGGGAAAGCGAGAGAAACUGGGUGUCCAGGUUAGGCCAGAAAAUUGGUGCUCUCAGAUGGACAAAGGAAUGCUGCACUUUGGCUCCAGUGACAUCAGUCCCUAUGCGCUGCCGUGGCGUCCGGAGGAGCCUGCACGUAUCAGCUGGAAGCAAUAUAUGUCUGGCAGUGCAGUCGAUGUUUCCUGCAGCCAGAAGCCCCAGGGGCUGACACUAUCAAAUGUGGCCCGGUGCUCCAGCAUGGACAAUGGCCUAGAAGACCAGAACUCCCCUUUCCACUCCCACCUCAGCACUUACGCCAAUAUUUGUGAUCUGUCAACCACACACAGCAGCACUGAGAAUGCCCAAGGUUCAAAUGAGGCCUGGGAAGUAUUCCGAGGGAGUUCUUCAAUUGCCUUAGGAGACCCCCACAUCCCGACGAGCCCUGAAGGAGUAGCCCCCACUUCGGGUCAUGACAGAAUGCCUCAGUUCAGGGGCCCUUCUGGUGAAGCAGACUGUCUGAGGAGUAAGCCCCCCUUGGCCGAAGGAAGUGCUGCAGGUCCAGUGGAUGAGAUUAUGCUGCUGUAUCCAUCAGAGGCAGGCUGCCCUGUGGGACAGACCAGGACGAACACAUUCGAACAGGGCACACAGACCCUCGGCAACAGGCGCCACUGGAGCAGCACUGACAUCUCCUUUGCUCAGCCUGAAGCCAGUGCAGUAUCAGCCUUUGAUCUGGCCUCAUGGACCAGCAUGCACAAUCUGUCUCUCCACCUCUCACAGCUCCUGCACAGUACCUCAGAGCUGCUUGGGAGUCUCUCCCAGCCAGAUGUGGCCAGAAGGGAGCAGAACACCAAGAGGGACAUCCCAGAUAAAGCCCCACAGGCCCUGAUGAUGGAUGGCUCUACUCAGACCACUGUGGAUGAGGGCAGCCAGACUGACCUCACCUUACCCACCCUGUGCCUCCAGACUUCAGAGGCUGAACCUCAGGGAGCCAAUGUGAUCCUUGAAGGGCUAGGCUCAGAUACCUCGACUGUGUCUCAAGAAGAGGGAGAUGUGCCAGGGGUACCUCAGAAGAGAGAGGCAGAGGAAACAGCACAGAAAAUGGCUCAGCUCCUGUAUCUUCAGGAAGAAAGCACUCCCUACAAGCCCCAGAGCCCUUCAAUACCCUCAUCCCACUUGAGGUUUCAGAAAGCCCCCGUUGGGCAGCAUCUUCCUUCUGUGAGCCCCUUAGUUUCUGAUGCUUUCCUGCCUCCCAGCUCCCAGCCAGAGGAGUCACAUUGCUUAGUUGUCAGCAGUCCCAGUCCCAGCUCCCCUCAUUCCCCAGGGCUCUUUCCCAGUACUUUCGAGUAUCCUGGGGACUCCAGGGUCCAGAAGAAGCUGGGCCCCACAAGUGCUUUGUUGGUGGACAGGGCCUCCUCCCCAAUCCUCACUCUUAGUGCCAGCACCCAAGAGCCGGGUCUUUCCCCAGGCUCUUUGACCCUCUCAGCCCCUUCAGCUCACCCUGUUGAAGGCCACCAGAAGCUUGACUCCAGCCCAGACCCUGUUGAUGCCCCAAGGACUCCAAUGGAUAAUUAUUCCCAAACCACUGACGAGUUAGGUGGCUCCCAGAGAGGUAGAAGUUCCUUACAAAGGAGUAAUGGGAGGUCCUUCCUUGAGUUGCACUCCCCACACAGCCCACAGCAGAGUCCAAAACUCCAAUUUAGUUUCUUAGGGCAGCACCCUCAGCAGCUUCAGCCCAGGACAACUAUCGGGGUCCAAAGCAGACUGCUGCCACCACCACUGAGGCACAGGAGCCAAAGGCUGGGCAACAGCUUUGUGCCUGAGAAGGUGGCUUCCCCGGAGCAUUGCCCACUGAGCGGUAGGGAGCCAAGUCAGUGGCAGAGCAGGACAGAAAAUGGAGGUGAGAGUUCAGCAUCUCCAGGGGAACCACAAUGCACUCUGGACCGACCUUCUUCAUGGGGAGGCCUCCAGCACCUCAGCCCCUGCCCUGUCUCUGAGUUGACUGAUACUGCAGGGCUCCGAGGUUCCGCCUUGGGCCUCCCUCAGGCCUGCCAACCUGAGGAGUUAUUGUGCUUCAGUUGCCAGAUGUGCAUGGCCCCUGAGCACCAGCACCACAGUCUGAGGGACCUCCCGGUGCAUAACAAAUUUAGUAACUGGUGUGGGGUUCAGAAGGGCUCACCUGGGGUGUUGGACAUGACUGAGGAGGAGCUGGGGGCCAGCGGUGAUCUCAGCUCUGAAAAGCAGGAACAGAGUCCCCCACAACCUCCUAAUGACCACAGCCAGGAUUCUGAGUGGUCCAAGAGGGAGCAGAUCCCCCUGCAAGUUGGGGCCCAGAACCUCUCACUCAGCGUGGAGCUCACAGAAGCGAAACUGCACCACGGCUUUGGGGAGACCGAUGCCCUGCUCCAGGUGCUGCAGAGUGGGACAGGGGAGGCGCUUGCUGCUGAUGAACCUGUGACACCCACCUGGAAGGAGCUCUAUGCACGGGGUCAGAGAUAGAUCUUAAAGUGAAGGACAUUCAGGGCCAGCUUCAGCGAAUCGUGUUUUGCCUCAGGCAAAAAAAGGCCAUUGAGACCCUCAGGAGAGAGCGGGCUGAGCGACUUGGGAACUUCUGCCGGACGCGAAGCCUUAGCCCUCAGAAACAACUGAGCCUCCUGCCCAACAAAGAUCUCUUCAUCUGGGAUCUUGACUUGCCCAGCAGACGCCGAGAAUACCUGCAGCAACUGAGGAAGGAUGUUGUGGAGACCACCAGGAGCCCAGAGUCAGUGUCAAGGUCAGCUCACACACCCUCUGACAUAGAGUUGAUGCUGCAAGACUACCAGCAGGCCCAUGAGGAGGCCAAGGUGGAGAUUGCCCGGGCCCGAGACCAACUGCGGGAGCGGACUGAACAAGAGAAGCUGAGAAUCCACCAGCAGAUCAUUUCCCAGCUAUUGAAGGAAGAGGAUAAACUACAUACCUUGGCCAAUUCCAGCUCCCUGUGCACCAGCUCUAAUGGAAGCCUCUCGUCUGGCAUGACCUCUGGCUAUAAUAGCAGCCCAGCCUUGUCAGGCCAGCUCCAGUUCCCAGAGAAUAUGGGGCACAGAAACUUGCCUGAUUCCAGGGAUGUAUGGAUAGGGGAUGAGCGAGGAGGCCAUUCUGCAGUGAGGAAGAACUCCGCCUACAGCCGCAGAGCCUCCCUGGGCAGUUGCUGCUGUUCACCAUCCAGUCUGUCCAGCUUGGGGACCUGCUUUUCCUCCUCCUACCAGGAUUUGGCCAAGCAUGUCGUGGACACUUCUAUGGCUGAUGUAAUGGCUGCUUGUUCGGAUAAUUUGCACAACCUCUUCAGCUGCCAGGCAACUGCUGGCUGGAACUAUCAGGGUGAGGAGCAGGCGGUGCAGCUUUACUACAAGGUGUUUUCUUCCACUCGGCAUGGCUUCCUGGGGGCAGGUGUGGUGUCCCAGCCGCUGUCUCGUGUGUGGGCGGCUGUCAGUGACCCCACUCUGUGGCCCCUGUAUUACAAGCCCAUCCAGACAGCAAGGCUGCAUCAGCGAGUGACCGACAGCAUCAGCCUGGUGUACUUGGUGUGCAACACCACCCUGUGCGCACUGAAGCAGCCACGGGAUUUCUGUUGUGUCUGCGUGGAAGCCAAAGAGGGUCACCUGUCUGUCAUGGCAGCCCAGUCUGUGUAUGAUACAUCCAUGCCAAGACCCAGCAGAAAAAUGGUUCGCGGGGAGAUCCUGCCCAGUGCCUGGAUCUUGCAGCCCGUCACUGUGGAAGGGAAGGAAGUCACCAGAGUCAUCUACUUGGCCCAGGUGGAACUUGGUGCUCCAGGCUUCCCACCUCAGCUCCUGAGCUCUUUCAUCAAACAGCAGCCACUGGUUAUAGCCAGACUGGCUUCCUUCCUUGGUAGCUAGCAUCUCACCGUCAAGAUGGUGCUGCUGAGAUGCAGGCCCAGGCUGCUCAAGAGAGACACUGUGGCAGCUCCUUGUUACUUUCCAUACCACAGUGCAGGAAAAGCUGAUGCUACCUGCUGUGGCCAAUUGGGGCAGACAGCACUGGCCCAGGGAUGCUAGCAAAGCCCAGUCAGUACUUGGUCACAGCUGGCACCAGUGCAGAGCAAACGGCCUGAGCUCCUGGCCCAGACUAUCCAGAGUGAAUGCAGCUCCGCUCACCUUUUGGAUUUCUCACCUUUCUUUCCUGUUUCUGGGACUCUGAGGCAGACAGGACACUUAAGGACCAGGACUGGGCACAGCCAGCAGAGCCGGGGACUGCAGUGCUUUGGCAAGGUGCUUCCGCAGGCUGGUAGGGAAGCAGGCAGCCACUGGCCAAGACUCUGCUCUGAAUCUACCUCCUCUAGCAUUCAGCUCUACUGUGUGAUGGGACGUUAAAAAUACCAAAACAGAAAGAGGGUUUAAAAAACAGCUGCACAAACCAGAACACCGAUUCAGAAUCUUUUCUCCCUCUUGAGUUUUUGCAAAAUACUUUAUUAUUGAUUUUUGCUUUUUUUCUCCCUUUCCCUCCGAGGAGAAGACAUUUGGGUCUUGGCCUGAGUCAGGGGUGUUGAGCGAUGAUGCUCUGAUAUGGAGCUGUCACUCUAGAGCUCGGUCAGAUGGAAGACACUAUAGAACCAGGUUGGACAGAUUUGGGGUCAGGGUUGGGGGCUGAGUUCUUUUGAGGACUGGUUGGAGUGGCAGCCAGAUGGUGGCUGCUGACAAGGCAAGAGGAAUUUCAGAGAUUAAACAUUGUCCUUUGAGGAAGGGAGAGGAGGUGAAUGAACUCCCAGAGGAGGUGAGUGGCUUGUUGGGAGGAAGCUCAGUUCCAGAACUUACCUCAGUGCACUUGGGAGGGGUGGAGUCCUGAGCAUUCCAUGAUUUCUGCCCGGGCCCCACCUAUCCUAGGAUGGGGUGGGAUGGAGAGUGCGUUCAGUUUUCUUGUACUUUAGCCUGGCUGAACAUGAACUUUGUGUUUACCUGGAAGUGGUAGGGGUGGGAGAGAUUCUCAUCUUUAGUUCUGGUGCCCAAAAUCUUUGGUAGAUGGAGGGUAACUGGGGAUUCAGAAGAUGUGGUAAAAGGUAUAUUUCUGUAGUGUGGCAGAGAUGUAUUUUUCUAAAGUGUUUGCAGGGCAUUUUUCCCUCUUACCUCAGAUUAAGUUAUUUAUAUAUUGUUGAUUGAAGGUUUUUUAAAAUUGCUUUUAAACUUCUAUUUCUCGGGUAAAUUUUUUGGUGACAUGAUAUAUUUAACACCCUAUUUAUAUACUCCUACCUCUUUUCAUAUAAAUCUCUUACUAAGACUACUGACCAAAAAAGAACAUUUUAAAAUUAAAA